AGAGGAGCUAGACAAGUACCGGUCUCAGCAGAUUGAGGAGAGCACCACAGUGGUCACCACACAGUCCGCCGAGGUUGGAGCUGCUGAGACGAC
rnacentral:pre_miRNA from 1 species